UACGAAGGGGGCUAGCGUUGCUCGGAAUCACUGGGCGUAAAGCGCACGUAGGCGGAUUUCUAAGUCAGGGGUGAAAUCCUGGAGCUCAACUCCAGAACUGCCUUUGAUACUGGGAAUCUCGAGUCCGGGAGAGGUGAGUGGAACUGCGAGUGUAGAGGUGAAAUUCGUAGAUAUUCGCAAGAACACCAGUGGCGAAGGCGGCUCACUGGCCCGGUACUGACGCUGAGGCGCGACAGCGUGGGGAGCAAACAGG
rnacentral:rRNA from 1 species